ensembl:lncRNA
ACUGUCAAUGCGUAGGCUACAAUCAAAACAGUGGAGAAAAAUGAGUUGAUAUAUCGCUCAAACAAUGGAAGACAAGCAGAGGCUGACAAAACAGGGUCUUGCUGGUUUCCAGCCGUCAGAAGCAAGGAAGCGAUACAGCAGCCCCAUGUCUAUGCUUCCUCAUGGGGAGGGAAAGGGUGUCCAGCUCUCACCAACACCCAGCCGCUGGACUGAAAGCCGGCUCCGCACUGUUGAAAUAUAGAACUGGCUCAAUGACUGUAAUAAACUCUGUUCUUCAAAUAAAUCA